AUCUCCUGUUCUGUGUACAGACCGCUUGGGAUGGCGACAUCAGACAUGUAAGAAAAAAAAGGUAAAGGCUUGCUACUCAAAGUAUGGGCCACACACCAGCAGCACUGGCAUCGCCUGGGACCCGGUUAGAAAUGGAGAAGCUCAAGCCCCACCCCAGACCUGCUGCAUCAGAACCUACAUUUCACUGCCUCGAGUGGAUGUCUCUUACCUGCCACCAAAAAGCCUCACCGGGAACUUAGAAUGGUGUCCAGGAGGCAGUGCUCAAUAAAUAUUACUGUGUUC